rnacentral:tRNA from 1 species
GUCGUAACAGGUAGCCGUAGGGGAACCUGGGGCUGGAUCACCUCCUUACUAAAGUCUGCCGGAUUCCGGCAUGAGUACUCACACAGAUUAUUUGGUUCGUUGACGGCUUUUUCGCGCAAGCGUCGAAGCGAUCGGAUGCAAAGGCAGCUGAGCCUGAACCGAGGCAAACAGAUUGGGUCUGUAGCUCAGUUGGUUAGAGCGCACCCCUGAUAAGGGUGAGGUCGGAGGUUCAAAUCCUCCCAGACCCACCACGGUCUGCAGAGAUUGACGAGGGUGACGCAACAACAAGGCAAAGCACCGGUUUCGGGGCCAUAGCUCAGCUGGGAGAGCGCCUGCCUUGCACGCAGGAGGUCGGGAGUUCGAUCCUCCCUGGCUCCACCAAUUCAAUACGGCUUGAGAAGGUUGAAGGAUCAGGCUGUAUUGAAUUGGUGUCUGUUGAAAGACGGAUAUCAAUUGCUCUUUAACAAUUUAGGAAAAUUGUACACUGUAGAAAAUAUUCGGAGUGAUCCGAAUGAGUUCUUCAAGCACAUGUCAGCUGGCAAUAUGAUUCCGGCGGGUGUAUGGCAGAAGUAGAGGUCAUGCAGACGAUUUGGGGUUAUAUGGUCAAGUGAAUAAGCGCAUACGGUGGAUGCCUUGGC